UACAGAGGUCCCAAGCGUUGUUCGGAUUCACUGGGCGUAAAGGGUGCGUAGGCGGUCGGGUAAGUCUGAUGUGAAAUCUCACAGCUUAACUGUGAAACUGCAUUGGAUACUAUUCGGCUUGAGAGUUGGAGGGGGACUGGAAUUCUUGGUGUAGCGGUGAAAUGCGCAGAUAUCAGGAGGAACACCGGUAGCGGAAGGCGGGACUCUGGGCCGAUACUGACGCUGAGGAGCGAAAGCGUGGGGAGCGAAACAGG
rnacentral:rRNA from 1 species